rnacentral:pre_miRNA from 1 species
AGCAGAGUUUCUGGGUCAUGUGGUAAUUCUAUGUUUAACUUGAAGAAUUGCCAAGUUGUUUUCUAUAGCAAAUGCACCAUUUUACAUUCCUACCAGUGAU